rnacentral:rRNA from 1 species
UACAGAGGGUGCGAGCGUUAAUCGGAGUUACUGGGCGUAAAGGGCGCGUAGGCGGCCACCGCAAGUCAGUUGUGAAAUCUCUGGGCUUAACCCAGAAAGGUCAACUGAUACUGCGGGGCUAGAGUGCAGAAGGGGCAACUGGAAUUCUCGGUGUAGCGGCGAAAUGCGUAGAUAUCGAGAGGAACACCUGCGGCGAAGGCGGGUUGCUGGGCUGACACUGACGCUGAGGCGCGAAAGCUAGGGGAGCGAACGGG